rnacentral:rRNA from 1 species
CCUACGGAGGGCAGCAGUGGGGAAUAUUGGACAAUGGGGGGAACCCUGAUCCAGCCAUGCCGCGUGUGUGAAGAAGGCCCUCGGGUUGUAAAGCACUUUCAGUGAGGAAGAACGCCUGGUGGUUAAUACCCAUCAGGAAAGACAUCACUCACAGAAGAAGCACCGGCUAACUCCGUGCCAGCAGCCGCGGUAAUACGGAGGGUGCGAGCGUUAAUCGGAAUUACUGGGCGUAAAGCGCGCGUAGGUGGCUUGAUAAGCCGGUUGUGAAAGCCCCGGGCUCAACCUGGGAACGGCAUCCGGAACUGUCAAGCUAGAGUGCAGGAGAGGAAGGUAGAAUUCCCGGUGUAGCGGUGAAAUGCGUAGAGAUCGGGAGGAAUACCAGUGGCGAAGGCGGCCUUCUGGACUGACACUGACACUGAGGUGCGAAAGCGUGGGUAGCAAACAGGAUUAGAUACCCCUGUAGUC